AUUGAACGCUGGCGGCAGGCCUAAUACAUGCAAGUCGAACGGUAACAGGAAGAAGCUUGCUUCUUUGCUGACGAGUGGCGGACGGGUGAGUAAUGUCUGGGAAACUGCCUGAUGGAGGGGGAUAACUACUGGAAACGGUAGCUAAUACCGCAUAACGUCGCAAGACCAAAGAGGGGGACCUUCGGGCCUCUUGCCAUCGGAUGUGCCCAGAUGGGAUUAGCUAGUAGGUGGGGUAACGGCUCACCUAGGCGACGAUCCCUAGCUGGUCUGAGAGGAUGACCAGCCACACUGGAACUGAGACACGGUCCAGACUCCUACGGGAGGCAGCAGUGGGGAAUAUUGCACAAUGGGCUCAAUCCUGAUGCAGCCAUGCCGCGUGUAUGAAGAAGGCCUUCGGGUUGUAAAGUACUUUCAGCGGGGAGGAAGGGAGUAAAGUUAAUACCUUUGCUCAUUGACGUUACCCGCAGAAGAAGCACCGGCUAACCCCGUG
rnacentral:rRNA from 1 species